GACGAACGCUGGCGGCGUGCUUAACACAUGCAAGUCGAACGGAAAGGCCCUGCUUUUGUGGGGUGCUCGAGUGGCGAACGGGUGAGUAACACGUGAGUAACCUGCCCUUGACUUUGGGAAACUUCAGGAAACUUGGGCUAAUACCCGAUAAGAGCUUCUUCCUCCUGGUUGGGGUUUGAAAGUUUCGGCGGUUGGGGAUGGACUUGCGGCUUAUCAGCUUGUUGGUGGGGUAGUGGCUUACCAAGGCUUUGACGGGUAGCCGGCCUGAGAGGGUGACCGGCCACAUUGGGACUGAGAUACGGCCCAGACUCCUACGGGAGGCAGCAGUGGGGAAUAUUGCACAAUGGGCGGAAGCCUGAUGCAGCAACGCCGCGUGCGGGAUGACGGCCUUCGGGUUGUAAACCGCUUUCGCCUGUGACGAAGCGUGAGUGACGGUAAUGGGUAAAGAAGCACCGGCUAACUACGUG
rnacentral:rRNA from 1 species